UGCUUACAAAUGUUUUUCCUGACAAUUUGAAUUUGGAAAGGAACGAUUUUAUCUUCCUUUCUCCACUAUGUACCAUAGAGGGAAAUCUGGGAGAGCCGACUUCAGUAAGGAUUCUUACUUUUUGCUGAUUUCUAUCAGUUUUCGCCAGAUCCUAUCUGCAGGCUCUGGAGUGAGUGGGGUGUCCCAGUGGAUCUCAUCUUGGUCACCAGAAACUGUAGAGGAAGAAAGAUUAUUUCUCCUCCACCCUUUAUGAAUUCCUGACCUGGAAUGAACAUCCAUCAAAAUUGUUUUUAAAGAUUCUCAUCCCUCUCUCAUCAAUCUGUUCUUCAUCUCAAGUGUGAAAGCCCUGGAAUGAGAUAACAAAAACAAAGACUGAUACAAUUUGGCCAAGUUCACAUCAUGUCCAAAAUGAUCUCACCCAUGAGCAAGUAUUCUGUAAAAAAUAGGAAUGGCUGUUGUCCGUAAGAUGAUUCUACUUCAAGCUCUGCAGAAAGUCCAGAAACAAGGAAACACAAACUGCCUGGCUCCCAACUUGAAAUAAGAGUAAGAGGAAGAAAUAGAAGACAGACACCAACUAUUGUCUUAAAAAUGCUGUUCUAUCAUGUGUAUAUCACCAGGAUCUACAGCUUGAAUUAUAUACAGGUUCAUCAGUGUUGCACCUCUGAAAUCAUGUGGCAUAUGACAAGAAAGUCUCAUUACCUCAAGCCACCUGGAAGUGUGGCUAAUCAACCACGUCUCAGCUCCUGUGAGUUGGUGAUUAUACCUGAAAUGGAUGCCAGCAGGAUCCAUAAACAGCAGCUAGAUGAAGGAAUGAGGAGAUUCCAUUAGUGGGGUAAGCGGAAUAAAUAUUUUAAAACCAUUGGAGAAGAGUUUAAGAGGUCAGACAAAAAUACCUACAGCUGGAAAGUGAGUCUACCAUCUAUUCUGAAACUGAAGGAUAUAUAGAAUUUUUGGUUUAGGGAGUCUUUAAACUCAUCUAACUCAGAAAUCAUCAUGUAGAUUCUGUGGGUCCAUGGAGGGGCUUAAAGUUUUCUGGAAAUGUUUGAUUGGUAUUCCAUUUAUAAAUAGUGGGGGUUUUUUCUUUUUGUUUUUUUGUUGUUUGUUGUUUUUUGGGUUUUUUUUUUUUGCUAUCUGUAACACUGUAAUAAAAAACAGAAAGUAAACUUAAAUAUUAAAUAUAUUGUGUAAAUAUCCUUAAAUAUAUUGUGAAGGGAUACCAAAUGGGUGUGUAAAAUACAACUUAACUUGAGAUCCUGACUUUCACGUAAGAUGGGACUCCACGGGGCCCAUCCUGGAGGAAUAUCUGUUAAACCCAGGUGAUGCUACACCCCUCCUCUGUUCAGCAUCUACACUGGCUUCCCACUGUACUCUAGGGGCCUAACCCAGUCCCACAGGUGCUUCAGGACACACCCCUUACCUUGCCAACCUCAUUUCUCACCACGUUUUCUUUGCUGACAUAUUAGCCUCCUUGCUGCUCCUAGAAAGUAUCACCCUUGCUCCUAUCUGCCUGCAAUGUUCUUUCCAUAGGCACCACUGUAUUUUGCUUCCUUGCCUCCUUCAAGAAUUUGCUU